CUUUGCCAUGAACCGUAAAAGUUGUUCAUAAACACAAAAUUUUAAAGUUAUGGAUUAUAAUUAUAUCCAUCAAUCACAAUUCGAACUUUAAUUCUAAUAAUCAAAGUUUACUUAAAAUAACAAUUACUUAAUCUGACAUCAUGUAUUAAAAUUUUUAAGGAUAUUUUUAAUUACUUUUACAAAAUCAUAUGAAAAAUAUCACUUACUUGAAUUAGACGCGAAUAUAAAAAAUAUAAUUGUGAAACAUCAUCGUCUGCAUAGAAAAAUAACAAUGUCAAAUCAAAUGAAGUUUUUUUAUAAAAAAAUAAAGAGUGUAAUAAGUAAAUUCAUAAACAAAGCUAAUAAUCAGUAAUCAAUAACAAAGAGAG
rnacentral:lncRNA from 1 species